AACGCAGCGAAAUGCGAUAAGUAAUGUGAAUUGCAGAAUUCAGUGAAUCAUCGAAUCUUUGAACGCACCUUGCGCUCCUUGGUAUUCUGAGGAGCAUGCCUGUUUGAGUGUCAUU
rnacentral:rRNA from 1 species